rnacentral:rRNA from 1 species
AGCGAACGCUGGCGGCAGGCUUAACACAUGCAAGUCGAGCGGGCCUUUCGGGGUCAGCGGCGGACGGGUGAGUAACGCGUGGGAACGUGCCCUCUUGUUCGGAAUAACUCAGGGAAACUUGAGCUAAUACCGGAUACGCCCUUUUGGGGAAAGGCUUGCUGCCGGAGGAUCGGCCCGCGUCUGAUUAGCUAGUUGGUGAGGUAACGGCUCACCAAGGCGACGAUCAGUAGCUGGUCUGAGAGGAUGAUCAGCCACACUGGGACUGAGACACGGCCCAGACUCCUACGGGAGGCAGCAGUGGGGAAUAUUGGACAAUGGGCGCAAGCCUGAUCCAGCCAUGCCGCGUGAGUGAUGAAGGCCUUAGGGUUGUAAAGCUCUUUUAUCCGGGACGAUAAUGACGGUACCGGAGGAAUAAGCCCCGGCUAACUUCGUG